UCACCCUCAUGUCACACACAAUGCCUGUGCCUCUUCUCUGAGCACUGAGCUCCACCACUUCCAGUGGGUCCACCGUCCGUUGUCCAACCUCCACUCUUCUCCCGGCAUCGAUUGAUUAACCAUCGCGGCUAACUCGGGUCGUCGCUCUUGACUACGUUGCGGAUGCGCGACUUAGCAACGCAGACUCCUCCUCACCUCACUGUCGCUCUCUAGUCUCUCUCUCCACGCAAUCGUUGGCGUCGGCCGUCGCUUUCCAGUCCAUCGGCUCUCCGCAUUGCUCUCAGGACCGAACCGAAGAGGGGUGCUUUGGGAACUAGAAAAUGUGAAUUUUUCUCUGACGAGACUGCCCUCGGCAAAGGUACCAUCAGCGAUUCAGCGUAGAAGUAAGAA
rnacentral:lncRNA from 1 species